rnacentral:rRNA from 1 species
UACAGAGGUCCCAAGCGUUGUUCGGAUUUACUGGGCGUAAAGGGUGCGUAGGUGGUUAUAUAAGUUUGGUGUGAAAUCUCCAAGCCUAACUUGGAAACUGCAUCAAAAACUGUACAACUAGAGGAUUGAAGAGGAGAUUGGAAUUCUCGGUGUAGCAGUGAAAUGCGUAGAUAUCGAGAGGAACACCAGUGGCGAAAGCGAGUCUCUGGGCAAAUCCUGACACUGAGGCACGAAAGCUAGGGGAGCAAACAGG